rnacentral:rRNA from 1 species
UACGUAGGGGGCGAGCGUUGUCCGGAUUUAUUGGGCGUAAAGAGCUCGUAGGCGGCUUGGCAAGUCGGGUGUGAAACCUCCAGGCUCAACCUGGAGACGCCACUCGAUACUGCUAUGGCUAGAGUCCGGUAGGGGACCACGGAAUUCCUGGUGUAGCGGUGAAAUGCGCAGAUAUCAGGAGGAACACCGGUGGCGAAGGCGGCUUGCUGGGCCUUACCUGACGCUGAGGAGCGAAAGCGUGGGGAGCGAACAGG